rnacentral:rRNA from 1 species
AUUGCACCAGAAGUAGGUAGCCUAACGAAAGAGGGCGCUUACCACGGUGUGGUCGAUGACUGGGGUGAAGUCGUAACAAGGUAGCCGUAGGGGAACCUGCGGCUGGAUCACCUCCUUAA